CGCCGCCGCCCGGCGCAGGGGCCGGGAGCAAGUGCACGCCGCGCGGAGGACGAAGAGGCUGCACGCACAGCCGCUGCCGGGGGUCGGGGCCAAGUGCGCGCCUCGCCGAGGACGAAGAGGCUGGCGUGCCCGGUGGCUCGGCUAGCUCCCGGGUCCCGGCCCCGCCUGGAGGGCUGGAGUGCAAUAGCACCAUCUCGGCUCACUGCAACCUCUGCCUCCCAGGUUCAAGUGAUUCUCCUGCCUUAGCCUCCUGAGUAGCUAGGAUUACAGAUUUAUAGGAGCAUUGUGACUGGACCAAGGACAAAGAAGUUCCCAACCUCCUCAGACCCUCGCUGCUGCCCAGAUGUCUGCCAUGGGGUGGCCAUCAUCGAAUCCACUGAGGGCGCAAAUAGAACAAAAAGGUGAAGAAAAGGUGAAUUCUCUCCUUUCUUGAGCUGGGACAUCCAACUUCUCAGACAUCAGAGCUCCUGGAGGCCUUCAGACUCCGAGACAUUACACCAUUGGCUCACCUGGUCCUCAGGUCUUUGGACUUGGAAUGAAUUACACCAUUGGCUUUCCAGGUCUUCCAGCUUGCAGAUGGCAGAUUGUGGGACUUUUCAGCCUCCAUAACUUUGUCAUCCAAUUCCCAUAAUAAAUCGCCUCUUAUAUCUGUAUCUGUUUGGUUCUGUUCUGGAGAUCCCGGAUUAAUGCAAAUGGAUUAAAAAAAUGCGGCCGGGCACGGUGGCUCAUGCCUGUAAUCC
rnacentral:lncRNA from 1 species